rnacentral:rRNA from 1 species
GAUGAACGCUGGCGGCGUGCCUAAUACAUGCAAGUCGAGCGAACGGACGAGAAGCUUGCUUCUCUGAUGUUAGCGGCGGACGGGUGAGUAACACGUGGAUAACCUACCUAUAAGACUGGGAUAACUUCGGGAAACCGGAGCUAAUACCGGAUGAUAUUUUGAACCGCAUGGUUCAAAGGUGAAAGACGGUCUUGCUGUCACUUAUAGAUGGAUCCGCGCUGCAUUAGCUAGUUGGUAAGGUAACGGCUUACCAAGGCAACGAUGCAUAGCCGACCUGAGAGGGUGAUCGGCCACACUGGAACUGAGAAACGGUCCAGACUCCUACGGGAGGCAGCAGUAGGGAAUCUUCCGCAAUGGGCGAAAGCCUGACGGAGCAACGCCGCGUGAGUGAUGAAGGUCUUCGGAUCGUAAAACUCUGUUAUUAGGGAAGAACAUAUGUGUAAGUAACUGUGCACAUCUUGACGGUACCUAAUCAGAAAGCCACGGCUAACUACGUG